AUUACAAUCUAACAUGUGCUAUUUACUUUUAGAAAGCAGGAGGAGUGCUCCUCUGGUAUUCCCUAUUGCCGUGGUGCUCUUCCGGUUUCAGAAGAUCAGCGUGAGACGAACGAUAAUCACUUGAGCAAUCAGUGCAUACAGUUGGAAAGGAAGUGGCUGCUUCCAAGAGCUGGAGAGAUUGCAUAUGAAGCACUUGACACCCUAAUGACACUUCCUUGAAGUGGACACAAAACGGAAAGAUGAGCUUCUGGCAACACUGCCCUCCCCUCCUGACAGUGACAGAGAGAGGGAAGACACAGCCCCUCUGUAACGAAGAGGUUGCUUUCAAUCACACAGAAGUUCACAAAGUUUG
rnacentral:lncRNA from 1 species